UUACAGAAUAUUUUGUAAACGGUACUGAAGUUGACGUUCCAAAGAGGAUUGGUGGAAGCAGCCCAUUUUUGACAGCUGAUAUAAAGGUGUUUCUACAGUGCAACUCACAUGCCAAAUUUACUCCUAGAGCCAUUGCAAGGAUAUUGCAUGGUAUUGUAAGCCCAACAUUCUCGUCUGCUGUUUAGUCGAGAACUCACCUCUGGUAUAUCCUCUAUAGA